ensembl:lncRNA
AAAUAAUAAAAAACUAUAUAGAUAUAACUUAACAAAAAUGAAAAAUAAAUUAAGAGUAAAAACUAUAAUCUGAUGAAAAGUGUCCAAAUAGUUCAUUAAUUACUGGUAGGUGUGGGUCUCUCUAAUUGGUGAGAGAAUGUAAAAACCCGGAGCACAUUUUCAAAUAAGUGAUUUCAGAACACUUCGAGUGGAAUGAAGAAAUCCAUUCUGUCGCUCCGUUCCAUUCAUACACGGUGCUCCAGGCCGGAUUUUAGUAUGUGCGUUGCUGCUUGGAUACACGCAAAACUUGACCGUUUGGCUUCUUUUAAACCAUUUCCAACUAACUGACGAAUUUUUGCCUGAAAACACUAGCAAUAUCACACACAGUGAUGGAGACAGCACUUACAUGAAUGGCAUAACGUGUUGGCUGUGAAACGUCAAGAUGAAGGAGGGUUACAGAAUUACAGACAUAAGAGGGCAGGUGAUGAAGAUGAAGAAGGAAGACACAGGAACCCCCAUACAAACAGAAUGCACAAUGUUUAAACAGAUAGGACACAUCCGGCCAGUAUCACACACGCUUGUGUACAUAUCCUGUUGAGGAAAGAAACACAGACACGAAAACAAGUAAAGAUAAUGAUUUUUAUAUUCAAUUUUUUGCUAAAGGCCCUGUUCUAUUAGACUGGGAUAUUAUCCCAGCAUGCAUCAGUGGCCGCCCACUCUCACAAACUUAAACAUACAAAACGCCCCAUAAACGGCUGAUUUUUACAGAAGAAGGUUUUGUUGUUUAAGGACUCUGUGUAAUUAGUAGGACAGUUAGAAUUUGCAAUGAGCUGACAGGUCUGAUUAAACUGCAGUAAAUUGUUCGUUUGAGUAAAAAUCUUUUAACUUCAAUAAUUCAGAGAGAGAGAGAGACCAGAGUAGGACCAUCUAUCAUACUGAAGCUAAUUAAUAGAGUUGUAUAAUAAAGAGCCUGGGAGUGGAAGGCA